rnacentral:piRNA from 1 species
UGGUGUUCUCAUCUUAGAUAGUUCUCGCCU